rnacentral:rRNA from 1 species
UACGAAGGUCCCAAGCGUUAUCCGGAUUUAUUGGGUUUAAAGGGUGCGUAGGCGGCUUUUUAAGUCAGUGGUGAAAGCCUGAAGCUCAACUUCAGAAUUGCCAUUGAUACUGAAGAGCUUGAGUAUGGUUGAGGUGGGCGGAAUGUGUCAUGUAGCGGUGAAAUGCUUAGAUAUGACACAGAACACCGAUUGCGAAGGCAGCUCACUAAGCCAUAACUGACGCUGAUGCACGAAAGCGUGGGGAGCAAACAGG